UACGUAGGCAGCGAGCGUUGCUCGGAGUUACUGGGCGUAAAGCGUGCGUAGGCGGUUUUGUAAGUUUGGUGUGAAAGCCCCGGGCUCAACCUGGGAAUGGGCAAUGGAAACUGGCGGGCUGGAGUAUGGCAGAGGAGUCUGGAAUUCCCGGUGUAGCGGUGAAAUGUGUAGAGAUCGGGAGGAACACCGGGUGGCGAAGGCGGGACUCUGGGCCUACCCUGACGCUGAGG
rnacentral:rRNA from 1 species